rnacentral:tRNA from 1 species
UGGGGUUUAGCUCAGUGGCACAAGCACCUGCCUGGCAAGCACGAAGUCCUGAGUUCGAUUCCCGGUACCCAAA